GGGGAAGUGGUAAUUAAAUGCAAUGAUCAACUAUGUGGAGGAGAUAUGUGAGAAAUGCCUUAGCAGAUGAUGAAGAAAGAGAUCAAAAGGCUCCGAGAAGCAGGAAUGCUACGGUGGAUAUGCAGUCAGCUCUCUGUAUCUGUGGGUUCAUUCAACCUCGGACUGAAAAUAUUCAGCAUUUGGGAAAAAAGUGGCAUCCCAUACUCAACAUGAUGUGAAUUGUCCCUUUGUCCAGUGGAUACACACUGUCAACACUUCCCUCCAGUUAGCCACUUCACCAUCUCGGUGAUCAGAUGGACUGUCGAGGUAUCGCAGUGCUUGUGUUCAAGGCACCCUCAUUUUACCUAAUAAUGGCCCCAAAGCACAAGAGUGGUGAUGCUGGUGAUUCAAAUAUGCCAAAGGGAAGCCGUAAAGUGCUUCCUUUAAGUGAAAAGAACCAGGGGUCCUGAUAAUUGACAGUGGAUCUCCAUGAAGUCAAGUAAUUACUUAAUAUAUCUAUUACCACUACCAAAUGUCCAACCUGCCAGCAACAGAAACCAACACUGAGCUCUUCAACAAACACAGUCCCCAGAGGAGACUAACCAGCCACUUGCUAGCAACUUGAUCACAUCAGAUUCCUUUCAAUCUGGAAAUGGCAGUAAUUGAUUUUGACUGGAAUUGACACAUAUUCCAGAGAUGGCUUUACCUUUCCUACCCACAGGGACUCAGGCAGCAUGACCACCUGUAAGCUUAUAGAUUAUAUGAUAAACUGACAUGGAAUCCUGCAUAACGUGACUGUGGACCACUGGCCCCAUUUUAUAGCAAAAGAAGGACAACAAUGGACAUAUGAUGAUAGGAUAACACCAUCCAGAAACUGCCUAUCUACUAGAGGUUUUUGACAGCACAGCUAAAGUGCCAGCCUGCAGGUGAUACUGUGUCCGGAAUUGGUGGGUUCUUGGUCUCACUGACUUCAAGAAUGAAGCCGCGGACCCUCACAGUCUUCAGGUAGCUGGGUAAGAAGCGGCAAGGCAAACAAAGGGUCCUGGUAAUUGAAAACAACUGAUGAGUCAAACCUAAGCAUUCGGCAUUGGGAGCACUGUCACUAAAACUGCAGCCUCAUUCAACAACACAUCCUUAUCGAGCACUUGCAGGUACUCCAUUGAAUGUUAGAAAUGCAUUGAUGAUGGAGACACAGCACCGGCUCAUGAGGACCUUCCAGCCUAGGCAGCAGGACUGGACAUACGCACUUUGGUAGAUUUAUUUUUAGAAAUUGGCUUAUGCAAGUGUGGGGCUGGCAAGUCUAACAACUGCAGGGCAGGUCAGGAGGCUGGAGACCCAGGGAAGAGUUGAUGCUGCAGUCUCUAGUCUGAAGGCAGUGCAGAGGCAGAAUUCCCUCUUUCUCGGAGGAUCUCAGGCUUUUUCUCCUAAGUCCUUCAACCAAGUGGAUGAGGCCACCCGCAUUAGAGAAGGGAAAGCUAGCUGAUAUGUUAUGAGGACAUUUGAGCAGCCCCAUGGAGAAGUCCACGUGGAAGGAACUGAGGCCUCUUGCUACCGUUAUGUGAGUGAGCCAUCUUGGAAGCAGAUCCUCCAGCCUGGUUGAUCCUUUGGAUGACUGCAGCCCCAGGUGCCAUCUUGACUACAACAUCAGGAAAGAUUCCAAAUUAGACUCCCCCAUCCCAGGCCUGGCCCAGAGAAAGAGAUGAAAGCUGACACGCAGCUCUCAGAAUCACCCUUGCUAUCAGGUUUGGCUUCUGGAGCUGAUGGGAAUCUGAGAGACGUCAGGGUAGAAGCCGCCUGUCUUGGUGAGCUUCCCGUGCUCAUCUGGCUUUGGGAAAGACUCUCAGCCUCAUUUGCUUAUCCUCCAUCACGGACCAAGCACUUGGUUUGGGAAUAAGGGGCCCUUGGCACUUACUGUUGUGUUCUUGGCCUUUGGGGCCUUGGCCAAGAGUCAGGUGGAAAGAGUUCCACCCUAACAUCUUCUCCUAUGCUUCCUCCCAGAGCAGGGGAUGGGAAAGUAUGGGGAGAAAAAGGCUCCUUAGGGAAUUACUUCAUGUUAAAAAAUAUUUACUAGGCACUUAACACGUACGCAGAAAUUUACCAGUGGCUGAAGUGGGUAAUAGGGAUGUAUCAAUUAACUAAUAAACUAAUUAAUUAGAAAAAAAAAAA
rnacentral:lncRNA from 1 species